GUAACACGCCUUCAACCUGCCCUCGGGUCGAGAAUAAUCUCGGGAAACUGAGGCUAAUGAGCGAUAGGUCAAGAUUCCUGGAAUGGGUUUUGGUCUAAACGGCGUGACAGCAUCUUGUCGUGUCCGCCCGAGGAUGGGACUGCGGCCGAUCAGGCUGUUGGUGGGGUAAAGGCCCACCAAACCAGUAACCGGUACGGGCUUUGAGAGAAGGAGCCCGGAGAUGGACACUGAGACAAGGGUCCAGGUCCUACGGGGCGCAGCAGGCGCGAAACCUUCGCAAUGCGCGCAAGCGCGACGAGGUUAUUCCGAGUGAUUUCCGCUGAGGAAAUCUUUUCUUAGAUCUAAAAAGUCUGGGGAAUAAGGGGAGGGCAAGUCUGGUGUCAGCCGCCGCGGUAAUACCAGCUCCUCGAGUGGUCAGGGCGUUUAUUGGGCCUAAAGCAUCCGUAGCCUGCUCGGUAGGUCUCCUGUUAAAUCCAACGGCUCAACCGUUGGUCUGCAGGAGAUACCGCUGGGCU
rnacentral:rRNA from 1 species